AUGAAAUAUGAGUUACACCUCUAAUUUUUUGAAAACUAGCAAAAACACCAACCUUGAUUACUUUACUUAAAACAUACAACUGAAUAUGCUCUGAAAGAGUAAUAUCUCGCAAUGAAUAGUCACAUUAUAUCAUAAACUUAAAUAUCAAAGAGAGAAUAUUUUUAUUUAGUUAAUUGUUUAUUACAAUAUAGUACAAUAAAUAAAAAAUAUUCCACUAAUUCAAAUGUCAAGAUUAAAUUACAAGCUUUUCUCAGGUUAUAAUACAUUAUUACUAUCCAUUCCGAAUAAGUUACAUGUAGUUCCAAUUUCAUGUAUACAUCUAAUAUGUAAUGAGUUCUUUUGAUGGCUACAUAUAACAAGAACAAUUUACUUAAUAAUAUAACACUUGACAUGAUUAAAGUGAAAAUCAAUUUAAGCAUGUUGAGUUAACACCCAACAAUAUAUAAAUUCUGCACUUUCUUUUUGAAUUCCUUGAAAAGUGAUCACUUAUCACGCUUAAAACUCUUGCUCUAUGAUUAGUCCGUGAACAAAACUAAUUGAUAAGGAGAUAAUGAGGUCCUUUUCUAUUGAAAAAAAAUUAGGGCAAAAUUUGAAUAUAAAUAGAUAAAUGCAACAAUCAAAAAGCGAGACGGAAAAAAGUGAAAACAAGUUUUGAGAUGUUUUUCAAAUUCCAAAUAUAACUUGAAUAUGAAAUUGUAACAGUGCUAAAUACUAAUUUUCAAAUAAAAUUAGAAUAAAUAAUUUUUCGCAUUAAUUAGUGUAACUUGGUACUUUAAUAUGUCAAUUAAUUAAGGUUUUACAUAUGAAGCUUUCUGAACUUAUUUUUUACGAUACCUUAAAAAAGAUAAGAUAAAAUAAGUUGAAUAUGUCGUCUGAAUUUUUGUAGAGGGAUUGCACCAUUAGUGAAUUUAGAUAGUAUGUUGCCAUGAAUAGAUUGAAUAUGUUAAAAAUAAAUAUUCUAAACUAGUACCAUUUUGCAAUUUUCAUACUUAGAUUGAAAAAUCCUUCAUUGAAUAUGUGAAAAUAUUUGAAAUACCUUGUUGAGAGACAUGUGGAAAAUGAAAAAAGUCUUAACAAUGAAUUCACCUAACACAACAAGAUCAUGGUGGUUCACAGAAUUCUAUAAAUAUCUAAUAAUUUAUGUAAUUAUGUAUGAAACUCACAAAACAAUGGUAGUUUGAAAGAGUUCUAAACUAUUAACUCAGAAAAAACUUCAUGUGUAUUGCCACUUGAUACUCUUUGGAGAAGCUUUUGAACAGUGAUCUGCACCUAGCAUGUCAUUUUCCUCUAAGGAAUAUUUUAUUACGAAUUUAUGCUAAUUAAGGGGUGUUCUGUAAAUACCUAAUAAUUUAGAUAUGAAACUUACCAAAUAGUGCUAGAUGAGCGAGCUUACAAUGCUCAGCAAUACAUAUGUAAGUAAAUGGAUACAAAUCUGUUAAAGAGAAUAGACUUAAGACUUACAAAAUUACUAAACAAAAGUAGGAGUGCAAGAAAGUAAGCAAAAUUUUUGAAUCUAGUUGUCUUAAAUUAAAGAUAUGUCAAAUGUAUUAAGAUUUUAGAUGCACUUUAAUAUUGAGGUCUUCAACAUGUCAGGUGGAACGUUCAAAUUAAAUAGUUGCUAAAAAAGGAAAGAGUCAUUCUUUUUUAAGAGAACUAAAAAAAAUAGGCCAAAUAAAUUGAAUGUAGAGAGUAUGUUUCAUAUACACAACUUUACACACUGUACUGAACCUUUUAACUCAUAAAGCAAUACAUUCUUAAAUUUGUCAAAUUGCAAGAGAUCUCACCUCAUCCACUUUCCAGAGGUCUUCUUCACACUUAUACAUAUGUUUCAUAUACACAAGUUUACACAUUUUACUGGAUCUUUAACUCAUGAAGCAGUACAUUCUUAAGGUUGUCAAAUUGCAAGAGAUCUCACCUCAUCCACUUUCCAGAGGUCUUCUUCACACUUAUACAUAUGUUUCAUAUACACAAGUUUACACAUUUUACUGGAUCUUUAACUCAUGAAGCAGUACAUUCUUAAGGUUGUCAAAUUGCAAGAGAUCUCACCUCAUCCACUUUUUAGAGGUCUUAUUCAUUCUCAUACCACCUCAUCAGCCCUUCAUCAUUUAGGGGUCGUUUGGUAGGCGGCAUUAGAAGAAAUAGUCCAUGUAUUAUGUAAGGUAUUAUUUAGUACUAUGUUUGGUAGGAAU
rnacentral:lncRNA from 1 species